GGAGGGUUGGCCGAGUGGUUAUGGCGCUGGUUUUGAAAACCAGUGGGUGUAUGCCCUCACGGGUUCGAAUCCUGUACCCUCCG
rnacentral:tRNA from 1 species